UAUACAACUAUGGUGUCAUUAAGACUUCUC
rnacentral:piRNA from 1 species